UUAUAUCAGUUAUUAUUUAUUUGAUGGUCUCUUACUACUUGGAUAACCGUGGUAAUUCUAGAGCUAAUACAUGCGAAAAGUCCCGACGCAAGAAGGGAUGUAUUUAUUAGAUAAAAGGCUAAUAGCUGCCUCUGGUAGCUUUUUGGUGACUCAUAGUAACUGUUCGAAUCGAGGCUCACGCCGCGAUAGUUCAUUCAAAUUUCUGCCCUAUCAGCUUCCGACGGUAGUGUAGUGGACUACCAUGGCUUUCACGGGUAACGGAGGAUUAGGGUUCGAUUCCGGAGAGGGAGCCUGAGAAACGGCUACCACAUCUAAGGAAGGCAGCAGGCGCGUAAAUUACCCAAUCCUGACUCAGGGAGGUAGUGACAAGAAAUAACGAGCAGUGGCAUUCGCCACUGAAUUGCAAUGAGCCGAAUUUACACCACUUAGUGAGGAUCGAUUGGAGGGCAAGUCUGGUGCCAGCAGCCGCGGUAAUUCCAGCUCCAAUAGCGUAUAUUAAAGUUGUUGCAGUUAAAAAGCUCGUAGU
rnacentral:rRNA from 1 species